CUAUAAUAUUUUUGAAUUUUGGAGAUUGGUGCACACAUUCUACCUAAGACUUAACUCAUCAAAGGGACUCAAAAGGCUCGCUUUUUGGAAUGACCUACAUAGCAUAAUCAGUGUCUAUAUUUGUAACUAAUACACCUGAAACGCUUGUGGUAAGACAAAUGCCAGCAGAACAUCCUGCAACCAGCAUACUUCAUAUCUGUGCUGUGGUACAGUAGAAACAAGUGUAAUGGCUCAUGUACAAAGUACAUUGAUGGGGAAAGUGUGACAUAAAGUCAUUUUAUUUUUAAUUAAGUGGAGAUAUUGUGGUUCAGCUUUGUUCUGCCCUGAUUCAUUUAAACAAUUCAUUUUUACAAGUUUGCCCUGUUGUUCAAAAACAUUGCCAGUGUCUUCUCUUUAUGUGAAUCCAGACUGCGGAUGUGCACAUAACCCGCCCCAUAUCGGACUUUAACUUGAUUUAUGAGGAGCCUUCUGAAGAGGAUGUCACCUACACAACAGUGUACAUCAACACCAAGCACAACAGAAACAUGAAGUAGUUGAGAUGGUGUGAAGUGGAACCUCUCACAACUGAGCCUGAGAGUAUGCUGACCACCACUAGAGGGCAGACUGGAACAUGAAUCCCUGACCCUGUGCACAAGUACAAGCCAGGCAAAAAAAAAAACAUACCGUAUCAGAAAUACACACUAAUCAAUGGCCCCACAGUGGAACUUCAAUUCUUACAGAUUAUAUUUUGAGACAUUGUUGCUUUGUGUACAUAAACUUUCCCCCCAAUGUAUUUUACCUAGUCUUAUGCAGUUGGAAAUGCAUUUUACAGUACUUUAAUUUCCAUUAUAUUUACUUCAUAGCUUUAUGUAAGCACUGCGUUGACUGCUGUAAGUAGCAGUGAAAAUAAAA
ensembl:lncRNA